rnacentral:rRNA from 1 species
CUACGGGCGGCUGCAGUGGGGAAUAUUGCACAAUGGAGGAAACUCUGAUGCAGCAACGCCGCGUGGAGGAUGACACUUUUCGGAGCGUAAACUCCUUUUAUAUAUGAAGAUAAUGACGGUAAUAUAUGAAUAAGCACCGGCUAACUCCGUGCCAGCAGCCGCGGUAAUACGGGGGGUGCAAGCGUUACUCGGAAUCACUGGGCGUAAAGCGCAUGUAGGCGGGCAAAUAAGUUGGAAGUGAAAUCCUAUGGCUUAACCAUAGAACUGCUUCCAAAACUGUUUGCCUAGAGUGUGGGAGAGGUAGAUGGAAUUUCUGGUGUAGGGGUAAAAUCCGUAGAGAUCAGAAGGAAUACCGAUUGCGAAGGCGAUCUACUAGAACACUAUUGACGCUGAGAUGCGAAAGCGUGGGGAGCAAACAGGAUUAGAUACCCUUGUAGUC